rnacentral:rRNA from 1 species
CAUUAACGAAUUACAAAAAUGGAGCGUUGAGCUGGCCCCUUAAACAAGGGCAUGUGCUUGCGCUCUUAUUUCCAAAUUCAACACCUGUGCACCUUUGUAGUCUUCUAAGUAGGAAAAGCGGGGGAUUCUCCUUUGCUUUUCCGGACGGAAGACUAUGUUAUUUCUACACCCCAAACCAAUACAGACCAUAGAACGUAAAAAACCAAAACGCGAGUCGACUUGCUUAACCGCUCGGCGGCUUUCGUUUUGUAAACAAAAACUAUAUACAACUUUCAACAACGGAUCUCUUGGCUCUCGCAUCGAUGAAGAACGCAGCGAAAUGCGAUAAGUAAUGUGAAUUGCAGAAUUCAGUGAAUCAUCGAAUCUUUGAACGCACCUUGCGCUCCUUGGUAUUCCGAGGAGCAUGCCUGUUUGAGUGUCAUUAAAUUCUCAACCUCGUAACCUUUUUCAUUAGAGGCUUUACUGAGGCUUGGAUGUGGAGUGUGCGGGUUCCUUUCAUUAGAAACCGGCUCCUCUUGAAAUGCAUUAGCUGGAACCUCUUCGUGGACCGGCCAUCGGUGUGAUAAUUAUCUACGCUGUUGGUUAUUAAAAAGGGUCUGCGCUUAGUACUUUGAGAGGUUCUGCUUCCAACCGUCCUUUGGCUGGACAACGAUAUCGAAGGAUUGACGUCCUUCGGUUGACCAAUUUGACCUCAAAUCAGGUAGGACUACCC